AUUGAACGCUGGCGGCAGGCCUAACACAUGCAAGUCGAGCGAGCGGCGGACGGGUGAGUAAUGUAUGGGGACUGCCCGAUAGAGGGGGAUACCUACUGGAAACGGUGGCUAAUACCGCAUACUAUCGGAUAACCCAUAUGGGAUUAGCUAGUAGGUGGGGUAAAGGCUCACCUAGGCGACGAUCUCUAGCUGGUCUGAGAGGAUGAUCAGCCACACGGGGACUGAGACACGGCCCAGACUCCUACGGAGGCAGCAUGGGGGAAUAUUGGAAAAUGGGCGCAAGCCGGAGGCAGCCAUGCCGCGUGUAUGAAGAAGGCCUGCGGGUUGUAAAGUACUUGCAGUCGGGAGGCGUUACCGACAGAAGAAGCACCGGCUAACUCCGUGCCAGCCGCCGCGGUAAUUC
rnacentral:rRNA from 1 species